rnacentral:rRNA from 1 species
AUUGAACGCUGGCGGCAGGCCUAACACAUGCAAGUCGAGCGGGGUUUUCGGACCUAGUGGCGCACGGGUGCGUAACGCGUGGGAAUCUGCCCUUUGCUUCGGAAUAACAGUUAGAAAUGACUGCUAAUACCGGAUGAUGUCUUCGGACCAAAGAUUUAUCGGCAAAGGAUGAGCCCGCGUAGGAUUAGGUAGUUGGUGGGGUAAAGGCCUACCAAGCCGACGAUCCUUAGCUGGUCUGAGAGGAUGAUCAGCCACACUGGGACUGAGACACGGCCCAGACUCCUACGGGAGGCAGCAGUGGGGAAUAUUGGACAACGGACGCAAGUCUGAUCCAGCAAUGCCGCGUGAGUGAUGAAGGCCUUAGGGUUGUAAAGCUCUUUUACCAGGGAUGAUAAUGACAGUACCUGGAGAAUAAGCUCCGGCUAACUCCGUGCCAGCCGCCGCCGUAAUAC